ACACACACGCGCGCGCGCACAUGUAAUAGAGACAAUACCUGGUGUGCGCACAUGCAUAUACGUGUGUGUGUGUGUGUGUGUGU